rnacentral:rRNA from 1 species
UACGUAGGUGGCAAGCGUUGUCCGGAUUUACUGGGCGUAAAGCGAACGCAGGCGGACCUUUAAGUUAGGAAGUGAAAGGUUGGAGCUCAACUCUAACACUGCUCCCUAUACUGGAGGUCUUGAGUGCCGGAGAGGAAGACGGAACAAGUUGUGUAGCGGUGAAAUGCGUUGAUAUAACUUGGAACACCAAUGGCGAAAGCAGUCUUCUGGACGGAUACUGACGCUCAGGUUCGAAAGCCAAGGUAGCAAACAGGG